rnacentral:rRNA from 1 species
CUUAGCCUUAAACCCAGAUGUACUAUUACAUACACAUCCGCCCGGGUACUACGAGCACAGCUUAAAACCCAAAGGACUUGGCGGUGUCUCAGACCCACCUAGAGGAGCCUGUUCUAAAACCGAUACCCCCCGUUAAACCUCACCACUCUUUGUUAUCCCCGCCUAUAUACCGCCGUCGUCAGCUUACCCUAUGAAGGCCUAGCAGUAAGCAAAAUUGGCCCACCCAAAAACGUCAGGUCGAGGUGUAGCGUAUGGAGUGGGAAGAAAUGGGCUACAUUUUCUACAUCUAGAAUACAAACGAAUGGCACCAUGAAAAGAUGCCUGAAGGUGGAUUUAGUAGUAAAAAGCAAAUAGAGAGUUCUUUUGAAUUAGGCUCUGAGACGCGCAC